ACGAACGCUGGCGGCGUGCUUAACACCUGCCAGUCGAACGGAAAGGCCCUGCUUUUGUGGGGUGCUCGAGUGGCGAACGGGUGAGUAACACGUGAGUAACCUGCCCUUGACUUUGGGAUAACUUCAGGAAACUGGGGCUAAUACCGGAUAGGAGCUCCUGCUGCAUGGUGGGGGUUGGAAAGUUUCGGCGGUUGGGGAUGGACUCGCGGCUUAUCAGCUUGUUGGUGGGGUAGUGGCUUACCAAGGCUUUGACGGGUAGCCGGCCUGAGAGGGUGACCGGGCACAAUGGGACUGAGGUACGGCCCAGACUCCUACGGGAGGCAGCAGUGGGGAAUAUUGCACAAUGGGCGGAAGCCUGAUGCAGCAACGCCGCGUGCGGGAUGACGGCCUUCGGGUUGUAAACCGCUUUCGCCUGUGACGAAGCGUGAGUGACGGUAAUGGGUAAAGAAGCACCGGCUAACUACGUG
rnacentral:rRNA from 1 species